UAGCUUAGCAUACUCUAUUAAUAAAAUUCCACAACACCCCACGAACCCGACACCACAAUUGAAUAACUCUAUAGAUUAUAGAAGAUAUGAUGCUAAAACUAGUAACAAGAAAAAGACCUUUCUCCAAAAUAUAAGUGUAUGUCAAAACGAACUCAUCAUUGACACCUAACGCCCUUGAGCCCAAGAUAAUAACCCACCAAGAAAACCUUAUUACACAAUGACGUUAACCUAACACAAGAAUAUUUCUGGAAAGAUUAAAAGAGGGAGAAGGAACUCGGCAAAUCUAAGCCCCGCCUGUUUACCAAAAACAUCGCCUCUUGAAUAGAUAUAAGAGGUCCAGCCUGCCCAGUGAUACAAUUUAACGGCCGCGGUAUACUGACCGUGCGAAGGUAGCAUAAUCACUUGUUCUUUAAAUGGGGACUAGUAUGAACGGCACCACGAGGGCUUUACUGUCUCCUCCCUCCAAUCAGUGAAACUGACCUCCCUGUGAAGAGGCAGGGAUACCACUAUAAGACGAGAAGACCCCAUGGAGCUUUAAACCCAACAACAGCCCAAACACCACCACCCCAAAAAGUUUUAAGGGUAUUGCUAGUUGGUUUUAGGUUGGGGUGACCGCGGAGUAUAAACUAUCCUCCACGACGAACGGGCCUACCCCCUUACCCAAGAGCUACGCCUCUCAGGAUUAACACAUUAACGUAAAAUGAUCCAAAUAUUUGAUCAACGAACCAAGUUACCCUGGGGAUAACAGCGCAAUCCAUUUUUAGAGCCCCUAUCGACAAAUGGGUUUACGACCUCGAUGUUGGAUCAGGGUAUCCAGGAGGUGCAGCCGCUUCCAAUGGUUUGUUUGUUCAACAAUUAAAACCCUACGUGAUCUG
rnacentral:rRNA from 1 species